rnacentral:rRNA from 1 species
CUAUGAUUACCCUGAACGGUGGAUCACUUGGCUCGU